UACGGAGGGAGCUAGCGUUGUUCGGAUUUACUGGGCGUAAAGGGCGCGUAGGCGGUCAGCACAAGUCAGUUGUGAAAUCUCCGAGCUUAACUCGGAAAGGUCAACUGAUACUGUGCGACUAGAGUGCGGAAGGGGCAACUGGAAUUCUUGGUGUAGCGGUGAAAUGCGUAGAUAUCAAGAGGAACACCGGUGGCGAAGGCGGAUCUCUGGGCCUUACCUGACGCUGAGGCGCGAAAGCUAGGGGAGCGAACAGG
rnacentral:rRNA from 1 species